UGGGAAAAAGAAGCCCAUUUGCUCAGAUUGCAUUCUAUUAUUUAUAUAAGAUGACAAACAAUAUGGUAAUCGCCUACUUCAACAGUAGUAGUCCAUGUUUGGCCUCUACUUCUAAGAAUUCUAAUAGUACCAAUUACCCUCCACUACUUAUAUUGUUACAACAGCCAUAUCGCAUAUCGUCUAUCAGAUUGAUAGAAAGUUUCAUGCUCUAUCGGCCUCAUCAUAAGUAAUCUUCAUUUAGUUUGCCCGUAAUAGUUUACAUCGGUCGUCUCUCUUUACUUAGUUUGUCAAACAAUCCUCAUGCUGAGGUAUCCUCAAA
rnacentral:lncRNA from 1 species